AAGUCGAGCGAACGGACGAGAAGCUUGCUUCUCUGAUGUUAGCGGCGGUCGGGUGAGUAACACGUGGAUAACCUACCUAUAAGACUGGGAUAACUUCGGGAAACCGGAGCUAAUACCGGAUAAUAUUUUGAACCGCAUGGUUCAAAAGUGAAAGACGGUCUUGCUGUCACUUAUAGAUGGAUCCGCGCUGCAUUAGCUAGUUGGUAAGGUAACGGCUUACCAAGGCAACGAUGCAUAGCCGACCUGAGAGGGUGAUCGGCCACACUGGAACUGAGACACGGUCCAGACACCUACGGGAGGCAGCAGUAGGGAAUCUUCCGCAAUGGGCGAAAGCCUGACGGAGCAACGCCGCGUGAGUGAUGAAGGUCUUCGGAUCGUAAAACUCUGUUAUUAGGGAAGAACAUAUGUGUAAGUAACUGUGCACAUCUUGACGGUACCUAAUCAGAAAGCCACGGCUAACUACGUGCCAGCAGCCGCGGUAAUACGUAGGUGGCAAGCGUUAUCCGGAAUUAUUGGGCGUAAAGCGCGCGUAGGCGGUUUUUUAAGUCUGAUGUGAAAGCCCACGGCUCAACCGUGGAGGGUCAUUGGAAACUGGAAAACUUGAGUGCAGAAGAGGAAAGUGGAAUUCCAUGUGUAGCGGUGAAAUGCGCAGAGAUAUGGAGGAACACCAGUGGCGAAGGCGACUUUCUGGUCUGUAACUGACGCUGAUGUGCGAAAGCGUGGGGAUCAAA
rnacentral:rRNA from 1 species